rnacentral:rRNA from 1 species
AGCAGCCGCCGCGGGAAUACAGAGGGUGCAAGCGUUAAUCGGAAUUACUGGGCGUAAAGCGCGCGUAGGUGGUUUGUUAAGUUGGAUGUGAAAUCCCCGGGCUCAACCUGGGAACUGCAUCCAAAACUGGCAAGCUAGAGUAUGGUAGAGGGUGGUGGAAUUUCCUGUGUAGCGGUGAAAUGCGUAGAUAUAGGAAGGAACACCAGUGGCGAAGGCGACCACCUGGACUGAUACUGACACUGAGGUGCGAAAGCGUGGGGAGCAAACAGGAUUAGAUACCCGUGUAGUCCCUGUCUCUUAUAA